UUCCCUGAUCUGAGACUACUUUCGGAUCCAGCCCAAGAUGGUGGUCCAGGAGGGGAGAAAUCACCUACAGAGUCCAACAUGGGGAAAGCUAACGCUACCUGGGAUAAAUCCACCCUGGUGCAAUACGACUGGUGGUGCUGUUCUUUUCAAAUGAUCAGAGUCAACCUGCGGCACUGAGGCCUCCAUGGAGAUAUUUUUGCUGUCUUUUGCACAAAAGCAGCAGAUCCCAGACGGAGUCUCCUUGCAGGACUCUUGAGCUGUAUUUGUUGAAAAUGAGAAGUGGAACCAAGUCUUAAGUCCUGUUCUACUGCUUGACUAUUCAAUUCCAAGAUCAGAUCGGAUUUGCGGAAUUCCUCCUUACUGAAGCAUGGUCACUAUACUGAGCACUUGGCAAAGAUUAAAUCUGAGGAACAAACAUUUCCAGACCCAGUGAGAGGGCAGAACUGCUUCUCCACCCGACACUAACUGCUGAACCUGCACGCCGCCUAGUGCUCACUUCUUACAGGCAUCACGAAAUAACAUCCCUGCUCUACCCUACCAGGUAGGCACUGUGGUUGUCUCCAUUUUCUAGAUGAAACUGAGGCACAGAAAGUCGGAGUAACUUCCCUGUGUUCACACUGGUUGCCUGCAUCUGCUCUACAACUUGACCCAUGCUCCUAGACCUUUUUUGCUUUAGUUAUUUUUCAGGGUCUCACAUUUUUGC